GAGACCCCAGGUCAGGCGGGACUACCCCG
rnacentral:rRNA from 1 species